UGACAUAAAUUACUACUUAGUAGGCUAAAUAUUUAAACAUAAUGCAUCAAAGGUACAUAUUACAGAGAGUCCAUAAACAAAAGAUAGCCUAGCUCAGAAUCUGGAUGCAUGAUCCAAUAGUCAUAAUGCAUCCCAUAUAAAGCCCUAUUAGCUAGAAAAUAACCUUGCAUCCAAUAUGUACAGUAUGUACCAUCUACUAAAGAGCUAAAAUACCAAACUUAAUAACCAUACCAAUCACUUCACUAAUCGGAGUUGCUCAACACAAUUACCUCAGGUUCCUGCACAGGCACUGGAUUGAUCAAAUUAAAUCCCGGGGGGCCAUCGUCAUCACUACCAGAAUCAUCAUCGCUGCUGUCAAACAUAUCAAUAACUCCAUCAUCUGGGAGAAGUUCUUUUCCAUCACCACCAGCCCUACUAAUCUGGAUCACCUAGGUCGUGAAGUCAAUACCCCAACCCCUUAGCUCAAACCCUACACGGUCGCCAAUUUGCAAGUUAUUAUCUUCCACAAUUGUCCUCCAUAGUCCAUGGUGAAUAGCAUAGUAGCGAUGGUGGUCAUAUACCAUUCGUCCAACCCAAUGUCCACGGUGCACAUGAAGCACUUCUAAGGUCUUUGCACGUCUAAGUCUCCACUUAAACUGAGCUGGAAUGACUGCAUCCGACAAUUGACAAGUACACAACAUUAAUCGUAAAAACUUGUUAUUUUUUCUUACAUAUAGAAAUUAAGAUUACUAACUGAUGAACUUAUAAAUCGUCGGGGCCAUUGCACAUGACAAUCUUUAAGAACCCUGAUAAACCACUGAGCAUUGGGCACACGUUGUUGUAGCGGAGGGGCAUCCAUCUGAAUAACAAGUCCAACCAUAACAAAAAAUAAACACAAAUUUAAUUUUCAUUUUCAUUGAAGCUACCCAUACUUUGUUGUGGUAAAUCUUGUGGUAGAACAACAAGUAGCUUCAACUUGUUACAAGAAAGUAGUAGAACACACCAAUUAUACAGAAGCACACAACGCCAUAAACUGAUAAGGCUAUUCAAUUAUUGAACAAAGUCUAUAUAACAUUCAUUCACUUAUGUCUAUAUAACCUUAAAUUCCUAAUGUCUCUCAUACUUUUAGGAAUUCCUACAAGUUCAAAGUCACAUUUUGAAUUUUCUUCUCAAUAAUCUGUUCCCCGCCAUUAACAACAACAUUAACCAUAAUUUGAAUUUUCUUCUCAAUAACACUACCAAAUAAAAUCAAUUUGUAGGAGAUAAACUAAAUCUACUAACAUGCAAAUCAAUUUUAACCCUAACCUUAAAAGUCUCGUACCAAUUUUCUCAAAUAUGGCUGAAAUGAAAAAAAAUAUUGUUUCAAAUUACCUGAUAUGAUUGGACAACUUUAGCAAGUAGACACCAAAUCCUCCAUUCCGAUCAGAUAAAAAGAAAAAAAAAUAUAAAUCAAAAUUUAGUAGAAAAAUUAAAACCAAAACAAUAAAGAGAUAGAGAGAGAAGAUUGGAGAAGAUGCUCAAUUUAACUGCGAAAAAAGAAGAAGAUGGUGAUUAAAGGGAAAGGAGAGAGGAAGAGAGGUAAGGGUACCUUUGAAUGUCAGAGGGAAUGAGAAGUGGAGAACAGAGCACAGUAGUAGAAGAUAG
rnacentral:lncRNA from 1 species